AAUUAUUAAGCUAUAUAGCAUGUAACUUGAAAUUACAUAAAUAGAAGUAAAAUCUUCUAAUAAUUU
rnacentral:tRNA from 1 species